UACGGAGGAUGCAAGCGUUAUCCGGAAUGAUUGGGCGUAAAGCGUCCGCAGGUGGCUAUGUAAGUCUGCUGUUAAAGAGUGAGGCUCAACCUCAUAAGAGCAGUGGAAACUACAUGGCUAGAGUGCGUUCGGGGCAGAGGGAAUUCCUGGUGUAGCGGUGAAAUGCGUAGAUAUCAGGAAGAACACCGGUGGCGAAAGCGCUCUGCUAGGCCGCAACUGACGCUGAGAAGCGAAAGCAUGGGGAGCGAACAGG
rnacentral:rRNA from 1 species